CAUUGGGUUUAAAGGGUGCGCAGGCGGAUUGGUAAGUCAGGGGUGAAAUCCCACAGCUCAACUGUGGAACUGCCUUUGAUACUGUCAGUCUAGAGUAUAGUUGAAGUUGGCGGAAUGUGUCAUGUAGCGGUGAAAUGCUUAGAUAUGACACAGAACACCGAUCGCGAAGGCAGCUAGCUAAGCUAUAACUGACGCUCAUGCACGAAAGCGUGGGGAUCAAACAGGAUUAGAUACCCUGGUAGUCCACGCUGUAAACGAUGAUUACUCGAUGUUGGCGAUACACAGUCAGCGUCUGAGCGAAAGCAAUAAGUAAUCCACCUGGGGAGUACGAUCGCAAGAUUGAAACUCAAAGGAAUUGACGGGGGCCCGCACAAGCGGAGGAGCAUGUGGUUUAAUUCGAUGAUACGCGAGGAACCUUACCUGGGCUCGGACGUAAGAUGACUGUAGGUGAAAGCUUACAUCUCUUCGGAGCAUUUUACGAGGUGCUGCAUGGUUGUCGUCAGCUCGUGCCGUGAGGUGUCGGGUUAAGUCCCAUAACGAGCGCAACCCCUACCUUUAGUUGCCAUCAGGUCAUGCUGGGGACUCUAAAGGAACUGCCUACGCAAGUAGUGAGGAAGGCGGGGAUGACGUCAAAUCAGCACGGCCCUUACGUCCAGGGCUACACACGUGCUACAAUGGCCGAUACAGAGGGCAGCUACCUGGUGACAGGAUGCAAAUCUCCAAAGUCGGUCUCAGUUCGGAUCGGAGUCUGCAACCCGACUCCGUGAAGUUGGAUUCGCUAGUAAUCGCGCAUCAGCCAUGGCGCGGUGAAUACGUUCCCGGGCCUUGACACACCGCCC
rnacentral:rRNA from 1 species